AAACGUGACGGAGGUUAUUAUAAAGUCACACAUUCUCAGAUCUAUUACAAACCUAUUGAAUUAUGAUUUUAAAACGUGACAAAGGUUAUUACAAAGUCACACAUUUUCAGAUCUAUUACAAACCCUAUCUGCUUUUGAUUUGAAUACGUGACAAAGGUAUUAAAUGCUACAAGAACAGUAUUAUAAACCUUUACACCCUCAGAUCUAACAUUAAACCUAUUUACUGUUAGCUUUAAAACACGUGACAAAUGUUAUACAAGUCAUCAACAGUAAGCUAAGUGACUCGUGGAGUGUAGCUAAGUAAUUGUAAGUGUUUACCUGUCUACUUCGAUCACCAAAUUAUUAACAAACACAAACAGUCAAUUAUGUCAACGAGUCGUGAAGAGAAUUGUGACUGUCUAUACCUUGUCUAUUUCCGUCUCUACUCUUACCUUUACGUUAAUUAAGUGAAGAAUCGUUAACAAAAGUGCAACUCUAAAGACUGACAAAAAAAUAUAAUAACUCUUGAUGCAUGUAAUGAGAAUUUGAACAUUGGUGUGAGUUAAUGAUUGCUGGAUUCAAGGACACACUAAAUAAUCCAAAUAAACUAAGUAAACAUAAACAAACAUACUAAACAUUGCAAGAGGGUGUGUUUUAUAAAAUCUCAACAUAUCAUUCAUUAAAACCUUCAUCUAUGUGUCUUCCUCUUAACCAACUUUGAUAAUGAAGAAGUGAGACUACGUGAAAUUAUUAAAGGGAGAUAAAAAAAUGAGUAACAAUGUAAAAAUAAAAAUAAA